CGGUGCGUGGGAACGCUCAAUAAGGAAUCCGGUGAGAAUCCGGAACAGACGCGCUGCGGUAACGGGAACUGCCGUCCGGAAUGACACUGCUCAGGCGGGAAGUCGUGACGGCCAAAGUCCGGAGUCCGAAGACUUGCCGAUGAACCA
rnacentral:ncRNA from 1 species